UACGUAGGGUGCGAGCGUUGUCCGGAAUUAUUGGGCGUAAAGAGCUUGUAGGUGGUUUGUCGCGUCUGCUGUGAAAAUCCGGGGCUCAACCCCGGACUUGCAGUGGGUACGGGCAGACUAGAGUGUGGUAGGGGAGACUGGAAUUCCUGGUGUAGCGGUGGAAUGCGCAGAUAUCAGGAGGAACACCGAUGGCGAAGGCAGGUCUCUGGGCCACUACUGACGCUGAGAAGCGAAAGCAUGGGGAGCGAACAGG
rnacentral:rRNA from 1 species